UAACAAUGAUUUCCCUAGUAACGGCGAGUGAAGAGGAAAGAGCUCAAAGUUGGAAACUGUUUGGCUUAGCUAAACCGUAUUGUAAACUGUAGAAACAUUUUCCUGGCAAGCCGGAUUAAUAAGUCCUUUGGAACAAGGCAUCAUGGAGGGUGAGAAUCCCGUCUUUGAUCCGAGUAGUUGUCUUUUGUGAUAUGUUUUCAAAGAGUCAGGUUGUUUGGGAAUGCAGCCUAAAUUGGGUGGUAAAUCUCACCUAAAGCUAAAUAUUUGCGAGAGACCGAUAGCGAACAAGUACCGUGAGGGAAAGAUGAAAAGAACUUUGAAAAGAGAGUUAAACAGUAUGUGAAAUUGUUAAAAGGGAACCGUUUGGAGCCAGACUGGUUUGACUGUAAUCAACCUAGAAUUCGUCUGGGUGCACUUGCAGUCUAUACCUGCCAACAACAGUUUGAUUUGGAGGAAAAAAUUAGUAGGAAUGUAGCCUCUCGAGGUGUUAUAGCCUACUAUCAUACUCUGGAUUGGACUGAGGAACGCAGCGAAUGCCAUUAGGCGAGAUUGCUGGGUGCUUUCGCUAAUAAAUGUUAGAAUUUCUGCUUCGGGUGGUGCUAAUGUUUAAAGGAGGAACACAUCUAGUAUAUUUUUUAUUCGCUUAGGUUGUUGGCUUAAUGAC
rnacentral:rRNA from 2 species